rnacentral:rRNA from 1 species
CCUACGGGUGGCAGCAGUGGGGAAUAUUGCGCAAUGGGCGCAAGCCUGACCCAGCAACGCCGCGUGAAGGAAGAAGGCUUUCGGGUUGUAAACUUCUUUUCUCAGGGACGAAGAAAGUGACGGUACCUGAGGAAUAAGCCACCGCUAACUACGUGCCAGCAGCCGCGGUAAUACGUAGGUGGCAAGCUGUAUCCGGAUAUAUUGGGUGUAAAGGGCGUGUAGGCGGGAGCGCAAGUCAGAUGUGAAAACGCAGGGCUCAACCCUGGGACUGCAUUUGAAACUGUGUUUCGUGAGUGCUGGAGAGGCAAGCGGAAGUCCGGGUGUAGCGGUGAAAUGCGUAGAUAUACGGAGGAACACCAGUGGCGAAGGCGGAUUGCUGGACAGUAACUGACGCUGAGGCGCGAAAGCGUGGGGAGCAAACAGGAUUAGAUACCCUAGUAGUC